rnacentral:rRNA from 1 species
UACGUAGGGUGCAAGCGUUAAUCGGAAUUACUGGGCGUAAAGCGUGCGCAGGCGGUUAUGCAAGACAGAUGUGAAAUCCCCGGGCUCAACCCGGGAACUGCGUCCGAUACUGGAAGGCUUGAAUCCGGGAGAGGGAUGCGGAAUUCCAGGUGUAGCGGUGAAAUGCGUAGAUAUCUGGAGGAACACCGGUGGCGAAGGCGGCAUCCUGGACCGGCAUUGACGCUGAGGCGCGAAAGCUAGGGGAGCAAACGGG